AUACGUAGGGGGCAAGCGUUAUCCGGAUUUACUGGGUGUAAAGGGAGCGUUAGACGGUAUGGUAAGUCAGAUGUGAAAGCCCGGGGCUCAACCCCGGGACUGCAUUUGAAACUAUCAGACUGGAGUGCAGGAGAGGUAAGUGGAAUUCCUAGUGUAGCGGUGAAAUGCGUAGAUAUUAGGAGGAACACCAGUGGCGAAGGCGGCUUACUGGACUGUAACUGACGUUGAGGCUCGAAAGCGUGGGGAGC
rnacentral:rRNA from 1 species